rnacentral:lncRNA from 1 species
UAUUAAGAAAUUAGUAUGUGUGAAUAAAAUUUCUCUUAAAAUUAAUGAGUAGGGAAAAAAAAAGAAGAGGAGGUAUUGUCCUCUCUCUGUCGUCUUUGUUUAAACCCAGAGAACAUGUCAACAUGAGUUCGCUCUCACCUAUUAAAUACUGGAUAGAGAUGAGAAAAAGUUGAUGAGGAAUCAAAGUUUUCUUUGACAGCACUCUAAUUGAUGAGAACAAGCUAAUGAUGCGGGAUUUGCUUCAAGACAUGGUCAGAGAUUCUAAAGUUCCUAGACUUGGUUGACCGUGUUGAGGGCCACUUAGAAAUCGGUUAUUUUGCAGGUUGAUCUCUCUCUCAGGGCAAGGAGUAAACCCCUUCUCCCCCUUUCCUAUAUUGUCCUCCCAUUUUUUGAAUUUUGGAUUCAUCAUUGUUUAGUGAUUCUUGUUUUUGUGAUUGUUUCUAAAUACUUUGGUGCAACUGAGAGAAGAUCUGAACUAGAGCGUGAGAGUGUUGGUGGGUUGGGUUGUGGAUUGGUCAAAAACUUGGCUCUAUGUUGUUUGGAUCGCAAAAUUUGGAGAUUGGGUGGUGUGGAUGUGGUGGUGCUGGUUAUGGUGGAUGAUAGAGAUUAGUAGUGGUCGACAUACCCAUACAACCCAUCACAAUGUUGGAUGAGAGAGAUGACUCUGUGUUGUUUGGAUCGCAAAAUUUGGGGAUUGGGUGGUGUGGAUGUGGUGGUGCUGGUUAUGGUGGAUGAUAGAGAUUAGUGGUGGUCGACAUACCCUUACAACCCAUCAAAAUGCUAGAUGAGAGAGAUUGGUGUUUCUUUUGACUUUGGAGAGUGAGCUAGUGGAUGAGCUGGAUAACCUGAGCGGUGGUGCUAAACUUGCAGACGAUGGCCGCAAGGCGGAGAGAAUUUGUCUUAAAGGAGUAACGGGUUGGCGGUGGAAGAGGAGAGAGGAGAAAGUAGAAAACUCAAAAUUACCCUUUGAAAAAGAAAUAAUUUGAAAGAGUUAACAGUGUCAUUAACACCGUGUACUAUUAAUGUGUAGGGUUUUGAUUGUUAUGUACCGUUUUGAUUUUUUUGAAACUUAAUACACUAAAAUUAUGAGUGGGUCAUUUCUCAUGUAUUGUUUUAAAAAUUUUCCCUUAUCUAAUAUAUGACGACACUCCACAUCUUCACUCUACACCAUCUUCUUCUUCUUCUUUCUUUUCUUUUCUUUUUUCUUUUUUUUUAAGAGAAGCUCAUAAUCUUUUUUCUCGAAGAAUUUUCAAAUCAUGACCAAAUCUAACUUGGUAACUCAUCAAUUGGUCAAUUGGUCAAACUCUUGUAUGAGUUGUAUCGAUAUUAAUGGUUUGUUUGAGAUUGCUUCUCAAAAACAUGAAAACGCUUUUCAAAUUUGGCAAAUAUACUUCUAGACGAAGUGAGUUGCAUUCAAUUUCACCCGAAUCUUUUUUCUCCAUUAUUUCAAAAGCGUUUCUCGUCUCUCAUAACAUAACUCCAAACAAAACCUAUUAGAACUAAAUGUCAUACAAAUACAGAUUAAUAAAUACUACAAACAGUCAUAGAUGGUCGAUUUGGUAAAACUUUAGAUGACACGACCCACCCCGAAUUUCAUCCUGAAACCCGGAGUAAGUCGUGCGGGGACCACCUCCAAGGAAGAUAUUACAGAAAAUUCGGCAUAACCUCUCUUGAAAAUGGACAAACCUUCCUGAGGAAACCUGCAAACACUUCUAAUAUUUUCAAUCCAACCUUAACUCCUGGAGCCUACGUGCUCCCCAAACACAACCACCACCAACAACAACAACCAACAUUAUCCAAACAUGAAAAAUAUAAUUAUCCAAAGAAGAUAACAUAAAUCCUCUGGCAAAUAUUCUAAAAUGUCAACAUGCCUUCGCUCACAACCGAAAUAAUAUUAUACAAUAUCUCCAAGGGAAAAUCAGAGCUACUAGACACUAGAGGAAGCAAGAAAAACACAGGUAGGUUAAACAGGUAACCUACGGAUGAAAAAUGGUGGAAAUGAGGAUGACUAUGCCUCGCCUCCUACUAGAACCAACUCGAACUCUGCAGAUUGGGCAUUUUAAAACGAAGGGCCCAGGGGAAGACAUUUAUUAACACGUUAGAGUGAGUGGACAAAAAUGAAUUAACAAGUAUUUAUGCAUUCCCAAUUUGAAUUUCAUAGAAAAUAUAUUGCAUGCGGCAGCUCAAAAGCUCUCAACUCAACGAUUGGCAAUUUCGUGACUAGCUCCGACUAGUCUCCAAACUUAACAAAAAUAAAGCCUCUCAGGCUAAAUUAUAUAUAAAUAUAUAUAUAUAUGUAUGUAUUUAUACUCGUCAUACUCCUUGUACGAAUUCUAUGAAGGAAUAAGCAAAAUAGAAAUUCAUACAAGGCUACUACGCUUGCGUCUAACGCUCACGUCACACCAUAAUGAAAUUUUUCCUCAUUAUGGCGGAAAAGCACGAGUGUAUAUACGUGUGGACUCCCUAUAUGAAAACCUAUAUGAACCAGAAAAGAAAAUAGUUUUCAUAUAGGGCUACUACGUUUGUGUCUAACACUCACGUCACGCCAUAAUGAUAUUUUACCUCAUUAUGACAGAUCAAGCACGUCUGGCUACCUAGCAUUUAUAUAUACAUACUAUCCUCAUAAACAUCCAAUAAACAUAUCCACCGAAAAUCUUAUUUCCGGGAACUCUUCAAAGGAGGAAAAUUGUCAAAUAUCCAAGAAAUAAAUAAAUCUCAGCAAAAGAAAUAAAUGAUCAACAAAAUAAUUCAUCGCAUGCUUUUCAAGUAAAACAAAUGUCCACUCACAAAUUAGGCCUAAGUCUGAUGACGCUCCGAGGCUUCCUCUGCUCAGGCCUCCUCUCAUCCUGUUCCAGAUAUAUAAUUAAUUCUCACUAAAAAACCAAUACUUAAACACAAUGGGCAAAAUUAAACGUGAGUCUCCCACACACUCAUCAUUGCCCAAGUUCGCCAUUCUUAACUCAAAAUGACUUAAACCUCACUGAACACACCGGCAGCCUUAAAUCAACCUUCCACAGAUUAAUGGCUUAAAUCCUUCGGCCGGAUUCUACAUUAAUUAACCGCCAAAAUACCAAACUUUGGAAAUUCACAAACCUAUCCAAAGCUCAUCCGAAAAUUCCAUAAUUCACUUCAAUAAACUCCCCUUAAUAUUCCAAAUUUAAAAACAUUAAAAUCUCUCAACCAGCGCCAACCCCGCCGGCAGCAGCGGCCGGAGGCCGAUUCCAACGACCUCUAAUUCCUAUGAAAUUUUGACAGAAUAAUCCUCUCAUCAUGCUCUACAACUUUCUUAACUAGCACAAACCCAAAAUCCAAGCCUAGCUAUGCCAAUCGAACAAAAACAUCAAAAACACCCUAGAACUUCCACCUCAAAUUUCUCCUUACCUGAAGCGAACCGGAGUAAGUCCUUUUAGGGCAAGGUAGCUGGGUUAGAGACCUACAAAACCAUACCAAGCUUGCCCGGAUUGGUGGCCGGAGGAGGGAGUUCCGGCAAAGGAGAGCUGUCAGCGUUUCCGGCGGUUUUCUCCUCUCCGGCGACGCUAUAGGCUUGGACGCUAGGCCGAGAAGAGAGAGGAGACGGCGGGGCUCCGAACUGGGCUGGAGCGGCUGUUGGUGGCUGGCCAGACGACGGCAGGCGACGGCUGGAAGUCCGACGGGGAGAGAGAGCUUGGGAGGGAGAACCGGGAAGAAUAGAAGGAAAAGAAAAAGAGAAGAGGGAAAUGGGCCUCUAACACCCGGUCCAACAACCUAUAUACCCACUCCACAACAAACCCAACUCCAAAAAUAAAACACCCGAAAAAAAAUACCAUAAUAAAAAUUACCUUUUACUAGCUAAAAUUUACCAUUUUUACCGUCAUCAUAUUUUUCUCCUACGAAUAACUCUCCGAAAUAAUCAUCCCCUAAAACCCCUCUAGGGACCAAUUAAACUAUACCUCAAUGACGGAGACGGUAAAAUUCUUAUUAUAACCAAGCUAGUAAAUAAGGUAAAAAUUUAAGGGUCGGGAUGUGACAAUUCUCCCCUCAUAAAAAUUUCGUCCUUGAAAUUUACAUACUUGUCAUUCGAAGAGAUAGGGAUACUACUGCAUCAUUUGCUCCUCUGAUUCCCAAGUAGCUUCUUCUACUUGAUGACUUCUCCAAAGCACCUUGACAAGUGGGUUUGUCUUGUUCCUGAGCACUUGCUCCUUUCGAUCAAGAAUCUGCACCGGAUCCUCUUCAUAAGACAAAUCUUUCGUCAAACUGAUCGGCUGCUCUUGCAGCACAUGAAAAGGAUCGGCAAUAUACUUGUGAAACAUGGAUACAUAAAACACAUUAUGUAUCCUAGAUAACUCUGGAGGCAAGGCUAAUCGAUAAGCAAGUGAGCCAACUCGCUCUAUUAUCUCAUAUGGGCCAAUAUACCUCGGACUAAGCUUCCACGCUUAUCAAAACGUACUACCCCUUUCCCAGGCGAUAGUUUCAAGAACACUCAAUCACCCACUUGAAAUUGAAGGUCUUUCCUACAGACAUCUGCAUAACUCUUCUGCCUACUUUGAGCGGCUUGAGUCUAUCUCUAACCAUUUUAAUCUUCUCAUUCGUAACAUGGACUAACUCUGGGCCACAAAGCUCUUUUUCCCCUACUUCAUUCCAACACAAAGGCGUACGACACUGCCUCCCAUAAAAAGCCUCAAAAGGAGCCAUACCAAUGCUAGAAUGAAAGCUAUUAUUAUAGGCAAAUUCCAUCAAAGAUAGGUUUUUAUCCCAACUCCCUCUGAACUGCAAGGCACAAGCCCUCAACAUAUCCUCCAAAGUCUGAAUAGUCCUCUCGGACUGCCCAUCAGUCUGAGGAUGAAAAGCAGUGCUGAAGAGUAAUUGGGUACCUAAAGCUGCAUGAAGAGCUCCCCAGAAUUUAGAAGCAAAUCUAGGAUCCUGAUCUGACACUAUUGAUUCAGGAACACCAUGAAGCCUCACAAUUUCAUUCACAUAAAGCUCGGCCAAUUUAUCCAAUUUAUACUUCUUUCUCACUGGCAAGAAAUGUGCAGACUUAGUGAGUCGAUCCACAAUCACCCAAAUACCGUCAUGCCCUUCACGGGUACGAGGUAAACUGAAAACAAAAUCCAUGGUGAUGUGGUCCCACUUCCACACUGGAAUAGGCAAUGGCUCAAGCAAUCCAGAAGGCUUCUGCCUUUCAACUUUUACUUGCUGACAAAUCAGACAUCUACUCACAUAAGCUGCAAUUUCCCUCUUCAUGUUUGGCCACCAAUAAUAAUCCAUCAAAAUCCGAUACAUUUUUGUGCUACCCGGAUGAGCAGCAUAAGCGGAACUAUGAGCUUCCUCCAUAAUCUCACUCUUCAACUCUUUAUUUCUUUUUGGAACACAUAACUGGUUCUUAAACAAUAGAGUCUCAUCUCUUCUAACUGAAAAAUGAUCGGCUGCGGCUCCAUUCGAAGCUCUUUCCAUCAAUCGAACUAUGGAAGGAUCAUUAUUCUGUGCUUCCCGCACUUUAUCAACCAACACUGGCCUCACAUGAAAACUGGGUACCAAAGCACCAACCUCAUCUACUGCUAAAUCCACCCAUGUAGCUCGCAACUCACAACGAAGCGGAACACGAACCAUCUUUAUAUGAGAUAAAGAUAUGGAGGGAUUUCGACUAAGAGCAUCAGCUACCACAUUAGCUUUUCCAGGAUGAUACUCAAUAAUGCAAUCAUAAUCAUUGAUUAACUCCAUCCACCUUCUCUGUCUCAUAUUUAGCUCUCUUUGAGUGAACACAUACCGAAGACUCUUGUGAUCGGUAAAAAUCUGACACUUGGCUCCAUAAAGAUAGUGUCUCCACAAUUUGAGAGCAAAAACUACCGCUGCAAGCUCCAGAUCAUGAGUAUGAUAAUUCCUCACAUGCGGCUUCAAUUGCCUAGAAGCGUAGGCAAUAACUCGAUCAUGCUGCAUCAAAACUCCACCUAGACCAUGUCUAGAAACAUCACAAUAGAUCAUAUACUCUCCACUAUCAUCCGGAAGUGCCAAAACAAGAGCACUUGUCAAGCAAUUCUUCAAUUCUUGAAAACUUUGCUUACAUUGAUCUGACCAUUCAAACUUAACCCCCUUUCUGGUCAAUCUUGUAAGAGGAGCAGCAAUCUUUGAAAAAUCUUUCACAAAGCGCCGAUAAUAACCUGCUAAUCCCAAGAAACUACGAAUCUCCGUCACAGUGGUGGGUCUUCUCCAAUUUGACACUGCUUCCACCAUUUGGGGAUCCACACUAACUCCUUCUACCGAAACCACAUGACCCAAGAACCCCACUUUAUCUAGCCAAAACUCACACUUGCUAAACUUAGCAUAUAACUGCGAAUUUUUCAAAGUCCGCAAUAUUAUUCUUAGAUGCUUGGCAUGCUCCUUCUCACUUCUUGAGUAAACCAAGAUGUCAUCUAUGAAUACGAUCACGAAACGAUCAAGAUAUGGACUAAACACCCUAUUCAUGAGAUCCAUGAACGUCGCGGGUGCAUUAGUAAGUCCAAAUGGUAUCACCACAAACUCAUAAUGACCAUAUCGUGACCGAAAAGCAGUCUUGGCUAUGUCCCCCUCUUGGAUCUGCAACUGAUGAUAACUCGAUCUCAAGUUAAUCUUAGAGAAAAUAGAGGCACCCCUCAACUAAUCAAAUAAAUCAUCGAUCCGAGGCAACGGAUAUUUAUUCUUCACUAUGACCUGAUUCAACUUCUUAUAAUCAAUGCAUAGUUUCAUGGUGCCGUCUUUCUUCUUAACAAACAACACCGGAGCACCCCAUGGAGACAUACUAGGCCGAAUAAAACCUUUGUCUACCAACUCCUGCAAUUGAGUCUUCAACUCUUUCAAUUCCGCUGGAGCCAUUCUGUAAGGUGCCUGAGAGAUAGGCAUAGUUCCGGGAAGUAAUUCUAUAGAGAAGUCUAUCUCCCUUACAGGAGGCAAACCAGGUAACUCCUCAGGAAAAACAUCCGAAAACUCCCUUACAACAGGAAUAUCUUCUAAUCCCACAACUCCCAUACUUGAAUCCACCACAUGAGCUAAAUAUGCCUGACAGCCUUUACUCAAAAAUUUUCUUUGCAGCAACAUCAGAAAUUAUGCAACUAGAAAUAACAUCUCUUUCCCCUUGGAAAGCAACCUCAAAACCAUCUGGACUUCGAAGCACCAUUACUUUCUGAUAACAAUCUAGCAUAGCUCUAUAUGCUUCCAAAAAGUUCAUUCCCAAGAUCACAUCAAACUCUACUAUAUCUAAAAGAAUUAAAUCAGCCUCGAAAUUAACUCAUUCCACUAAAACUUCACAACCACUAAACACCCAAUUUAUUCUCAUCACCUCACCGGAGGGUAGAGACACAUGCCACUCGCCUGGAAGAGACGAUGAUGGCACAUUGGCAUGAGGGCAAAUCUACUAGACAUGAAUGAAUGCGUGGCUCCGAGAUCAAUUAAAGUAAAUGCAGGCUGACCAAAAUUUAAUAACGUACCAAUGAUGACAUCUGGAGAAGUACGACCUUGCUACUGGGUCAUAGCAUGCAGUCUAGCGCGAGUCAUGGGACGUCCACGCUGACCACCACCUCACUGAGAGCCACCUCUGACCGAAGCACUGCCUUGGGCACCACUACUAGAGCCCCUAGCUGAAGACUGACCAACUGGCUGAGUAGGGGUGGGGGUGGUCCUCUGAGCCAACAAUGGACAAUCUCUCCUGAAGUGGUCCUGACCACCACACUCAAAGCACCCAGAAAACUGUUGCUGCCCAUAAGAAAAAGUCUAGCUACCGGAUGACCCACCAUGGAAGCUACCACCAGAACCAUACUGCCCAGACUGCUGCCUACCCAAAUGACUCUGAGAAGGUCUCCUGAAACGUCCUCUAGUCCUGUUUCGAGCACCAGAGCUCGAUCCCCCACUACUACCACUACCAGCAGAAGACCCAGAAGCAGAUGAUGAAGCAGCCUUCUUGGAUGGACCCUGACUAGGGCCACCGUAAUCACGGGGCCAAACACCAUAUGUCCCCCUGGACUCAAUGGCCAUAGCUGCACCAACUGCAUCCGUAAAGGUCGGGUAAAUUACCCCUGUCAUCUUGUCCGCAUACACCCCACCAAGUGCCCCAAUGAAUAUCUCAAUCCUGGUCUUCUCAUCAGGAACCAAAUAGGACACAUGGUAGCUCAGGAAAGUGAAUCUUUCCUGGAACUCAAUGAUACCCUCAUCAUCCCUCUUCGUCAUAUGCAGGAAAUCCGACUGAAUUCUACUACGGUGGGCAUGAUUGAAAUAUUGCCCCAAGAAGAGAGUCUUAAACUGCUCCCACGACAUAUUCAGCGCAUCCUCAACAUUCCUGCUGGUAAGCGACCACUAGUGAUGUGCUGAAUCAUCCAGAAAAGUCAUUGCCAUCUUCACCUUUCUUUCUUCUGGCAACUCAGUGCUCGCAAAAGCAUUUUCCACCUUGUCCACCCAAUUGUGAGCAUUAAGAGGUCCCUUGGCACCCUUGAACUCUCUGGCUCCAGCAUCAUAAACUUCUCUCCUUUUCUCCGUAGGAGGGCGUGGAGCUCGAUCCAUGACAUCCCUCAACAUAUUACCAAUAUCAUCAACCAGUCCCCUGACCUCAUUGCCCUCAUCGGCAUUAGUCGAAAUAGCCACACGGGGUUGCCGUGGGCGCCUAGGAGGCAUAGUACCUGAGGAAGAAGAUAUUUAGUAGUCCAUAAACAAGACUAAUACAAUUAUCACACAUUCCCAAUAACACAUAACAUCAAAAGCAUAAAAUGCCAAUGAAUCCGUCGCGGUCGGAUCAUCACUCUAUAGACACUACGUGCUACUUAAGCAAAUAUGAUAGUGACAAGGAAGCAGGAAAAGGAAACCUAAAGCUCUGAUACCAACUGACACGACCCACCCCGAAUUUCACCCUGAAACCCGGAGUAAGUCGUGCGGGGACCACCUCCAAAGAAGAUAUUACCGAAAAUUCGACAUAACCUCUCUUGAAAAUGGACAAGCCUUCCUAAGGAAACAUGCAAACACUUCCAAUAUUUUCAAUCCAACCUUAACUCCUGGAGCCUACGUGCUCCCCAAACACAACCACCACCAACAACAACAACCAAUAUUAUCCAAACAUCAAAAAUAUAAUUAUCCAAAGAAGAUAACAUAAAUCCUCCAACAAAUAUUUUAAAAUGUCAACAUGCCUUCGCUCACAACCGAAAUAAUAUUAUACAAUAUCUCCAAGGGAAAAUCAGAGCUACUAGACACUAGAGGAAGCAAGAAAAAUACAGGUAGGUUAAACAGGUAACCUACGGAUGAAAAGUGGUGGAAAUGCAGGUGACUAUGUCUCGCCUCCUACUAGAACCAACCCGAACUCUGCAGACUGAGCAUUUUAAAACGAAGGGCCCAGGGGAAGACAUUUAUUAACACGUUAGAGUGAGUGGACAAAAAUGAAUUAACAAAUAUUUAUGCAUUCCCAAUUUGAAUUUCAUAGAAAUAUAUUGCAUGCGGCAGCUCAAAAGCUACUCAACUCAACGAUUGGC